ACACCUCACCACGUUUGAAUCUUUCAGUGUUUGUGCCAGUAGAGGGAAAUUAAUCGCGCUUUCAGACUAUUUCCCCAAAACAGACACUUAUCUUAGUAUGCGCAGUAUUUUUUCUGAUUGUGUGCAGUAUGCUGGGAUUCAAGACGAUAAGAGUCGUCCUAGAGAGCAGUAAUCACCCUUGGCAGUUAGGCUGAGGAACUGGACCCAAUGACGCCAGUGACAGCAGCGCCUUGGCCUCGUGUUGCCGAGUCAUGAGCUGAGGAACUGGACCCAAUGACGCCAGUGACAGCAGCGCCUUGGCCUCGUGUUGCCGAGUCAUGAGUUCCUGUCUUCAUUAUGCUGAUAUCCACAUUGGCUUAAAGCACUCGAAUGAUUCAGGCUGUGAGGGGCCAGCAAGUCAGGGAGCAGUUGGAUGUUGGACAUGAAGUUUCCUGCAAAUGAAUGCACCUCUUACAUUAGACUCUAAAGUACAGUUCAGUCACUGCCUGUGUGUAGCAGGCCACAGUGGCUGAGAGGUGCCUGGUGGUGGUGGCCACUUUUCCGAAGUCCCUCAGGGAUGAUAAUGAUUACUUUUCUCUGAAUUCAGUGCAUUACUUCCAGCUGAUGUUUGUUGUAGUUUGUGAUGGAAUACUGAAUAUUUGUGUUGAAAUAUCUGAUGUGUGGAAUUUAGAUUGUCAUCAGUAAAUGUGAACAAAAUGGUAUGCUUGUUUGAAGCAUUUCUGCCACAUCCUUUGCUUUACAGGAAGCUCUUGAGAGGCACUCAUCAGUGAUGACUUACACUAAUUUGCAGUAUACUGUAUUUUUUGAUAAAGGGGAAUAAGUUUUAUUCAAGAGUCCAUGUAUAUCUAGUCAAUACUUACCCAAGUGAGGUACAUGCUGAUGUUUACAACAUUGAUGCUAUAAUGGUAGUAUUUAUUGGGUUCAAAAAUAUAUAGAGCAUAUUGAUGCCAUAACAUAUGUUGCUGAAUAUGCAUAUACAUUUUAUAUAUUGAAUGAUUACAGAAGAAAUGUUUUUAUUUUCAAGUAAUAAGUACAGUACCAGAAGUGUCCUGGGCAGCAGAUCAGCAGCACAGGAAUACCAAAUUUAAAGAAUCCAUUAUGGGCACAUCACAAUCUUGCUGACUUGAAAUUCUUUCAAAAAUGCUUUCGUGGAUCCAAUCUUCUGAGAAAUGAGAUUAAUCUUAAAUCUUCAUUCUCAAAAACGAACAUUUUAUUAGGCAGUCUAGAAUGUUACCAAGUUUGGACUCGGCCUAAAGUGUCACACGUCAAACAUAAUUGUUGAAGUAACGUGACUAAAGGGAACCAUGGGAAUUUAAGCAAUUGGAAAGAUUCAAGGCUAAUUUCCAGCAACCUAACAAACUGAUGACAAAACUGCUUUCCCCAAUACUGUCUUCCCUUAUCCUUGCUGAACAGCACUCACAGGUUGAUGUAAUGUUCAAGUUAUGGUUUCCUGACAACACUACAGCUGUUGGCAUUAGCGGCUGUAAAUGAAAUGUUAAUGACUAGUUUAGGAUACAUACAAUCCUAGAUAUAUAUAUUGGAUCUUUAUUUCAUUACAAAGUAUCACUUUUACAAGGGCAAGAAUGCUACACACUCGCAAUCGACCACCAAGGGUGUAUCAGCAACCCUCUUGAACCAUUGCACAACCUAGAUUCUCCCUACUUGUGAUACUUUACAACUUUUGAUGUACUGAUGUAGCUAUUUAUCGCAGAGUAAAUAUAGUGAAAUAUAAUUUUGUUAAAUGACAAGUAUUUUGUGCAUUUUAACAAUGUAUAAAUUUAUGCUAUUAGCAACAAUUUCAACAAAGGUCCAAUUAUCCCUGUUCAAUUCAGUAUGUUUGUUAAGUAGCCUAAUUAUAUUUUUUUUUGCAGUAUCUUGCUUUAAAGUACAUAUAAUUCAUAGCUAUGUAUAAAUAAAAUUCGAUAAACAUGUAUAUAAAAAAUUAACUAUAAAGUUAUUGAGGGCAUGGCCAGUAUGAUAACAUGAAUCAACUCAAUGCCAUAUAAUGUUACCAAUUUUUUUUAAUGCAUACUGAAUUUCAAUAUACACGCAAAAUAUUUUGUGCUAUUAAAUUUGUCUUGUGUUGAAAAAUGUUGGGCACAAUGCCACAGUUCAACUGGAGUGUGUACCACAUGGCCCUGUCCUAGCUGAUCUGCUGUAUGAAUCACUUGAUGGAAAACUUGCCCAGGCCUUUUGCACCAGUAAUUCCUGGCUAUUUUGGCAAUAGUGGAGCACAGCUAGUGGUGGAUCACAAGCGUGUCCGGUACAAUUGACUUACGAGGUCUAUUCAUGUGAAUACCUCACAAGAUUGUGGAUAAUCAAUGAUACUGGCUAUCCCGUGGCCCCUGUGGCCAGAUCAAGCCUCUACUCUUAACUAUGGCAAAUCAGAUAUAAAUUAUGCUUCUAUCAAACUACUUCAAAUGGUUAACUACUUUUUACCAUGCUAUUAAAUUCUCUUGGAAGGAGAAGAAUCUGGGGUCUAGAAAAUUACAAUAUAAAAGCUUACAGAGCUUGCCAUGUUGAUGAACAACCAUAUAGCUUAACAGGACCCGGCGACCCCUGGAAGGGUGAGUCCCACGACUUGUGGUGACACGGAGGAGGCCAGGGGCAGGCGCUGUGUCAGACACGAGCGGUGCGCCAGGUCAAGCCUCACCCUCGCCCCCGCCCGCCCCUCGUCCACACAUGCACCAGACGGGAGCCAAAUCUCACUCCUGAUUCCUACAUUGCAACCUCCAGCCCUGGAUCCACCAAAAAGUGGGCAGUGGGGUGUGGAUGGGUGCGGCAGUGCACAAGGGACAGAGGGUGACGGCAGGCGGGGGCAAUGUGGUCGGCAGAAAGGGGCCUGCCAGCUCCUGGCACGGGGUGGGGUCAGUGAAGGCAAGGCGCAAGACGAGAGACCGUGCAGGCAGCCAGUUCCGCCAGGACCGGGUCAGUGACCGGGCAAGGCAAGAGGGGGCGCAACACUGAUAUGCUAGGGCCCUGCUAUCCAUAGAUUACAUGAGUUACGAAAGACAGUCAUCUUCAAAGGUCGCCAGCCGUCUUCACUGGAGACACUUUAUGCCAUUCUUCUGCGAACACAUGUACUAAAGUACACUCAAAGAUGUGAACUCACUUCAAACACGUCGGUGAACUGGAUGCUUCUCUCAUGAGUUACAGUGUUGUCUCAUUAGCAAAUCUACUGUACUGCUGAAAUAUUCAGCUCGUUAUAGCAGGUUUGGGCCUCCUGGUCUCCUCCAUUAAUACGAAAAUGAAUACUUUUAAUAUGCGGGCAUUUACCAAUAUCCUUAAAAUUUAUAGGGGCUAAGUAUUAGCAAUAUAUCAGAGAGUGUAUCUUAUGGUCGUCCAUAGGCGUUAAAAAUGCACUUCAAAAAUGGGUUGAAGGUUUUAAAUGAAUACAACACAUCACUGAACAAUACCAUCUUACAAGAAUUUACCAAAAGACACUAAAAUUGGUCCCAAAGCAACUAGAUUUGAUAUUGCCUUGAUAACUAACCAUUAUAGAUUACACUCUCCUUUAGGCAAUUGUAUUAAUAAAUUAUAAGCAAUAAUAAAUAAAUAGUAAUAAAUUAUAUGCUACGCACUUUCUAAAUGUGAUGUACUAAAACUAUUCUUUUAAGUAUUUUUCUCUUAUUUCUUUGGUGUGGCUAUCUCCUUACGAUCCUUAAUAAUAUCCCUGUUGUACUCAGUUGCUGCCAUCUUGUUUACUCAAUAAAUGCUUUAGUCUCUGAAGAAAGCUGAAAACUUGCAACACACAAAGCCUAAUGGUCAAUCAAAACAAGAUGCCAGCAUGAGCAAGGCAAUAGGGCCUAUGUAAUAUUACAAUUGUACAGGCCUAUUGCACCAGCCUGCUCUGGACAAGAGACUAGUCUUAAAAGUACUAAAUGUGUAAGAAUAUUUGGGCAUGAGUAAGAUAAUAUUUUUUUUUUUUUGUCUUUUCAGGAUAUAUAAAAGUUCAAAUAGUAUUUGAUUUAAUGAAAAUUUUUAGUUUAAUAUAAUAAUAUUUUCUUCAUACCUAUGCCUAUGUCUUAUUUGUAAAUAUUGAUAAAAACUACUAGGGGAGGAACCAGCUGAGUCAGAGACAAUAUGCACUGGUCUCCUCAACAGAGCAGGUCUGACACAAUACAUCGCCUGACGGUCGUGCGUAUGUACAUACUGGACUAGAUAUGCUAUGUCAGAGAAACAGCUUCAUUCUUUCAGAAAUUAGUAAUUCUUAUUCCUAAACCGCAAGGGCAUAUAACAUGUAAAUAUCUGAAACAAAUAAAAUAGACCAGGUAAUGGUGAAAUCAGCUUGAACUCUCUUGGCACAAUUCUGUCAAUGGUUCAAAGUUAUGUGGAUGACACACAGCAUAUUAUUUAGAAUAAGAAUGUGGGGGAUUAAAUACCCAAAAAGGUGGAUAAAGCAAUAAUAAUAAUGACUAGAUGGAAUGUCUGAGAUCAUAGAUGAAAGAUCACUGCAAAAACUGUAAUCUUAAAAAAAUAACAAGUACACCUUGACUAGAAAAUAAUGCCACUUUGAUCUGACAAACAUACAGAUGUCUAAAAAUCUAAGCCACAAAGAAAUGCACAAAUCUUAUUAAACCAUUGGAUACAAAUGAUUUAAAAAUAUAUCAUGAUAUAAAAUUGACUGGAGAUAAGCGUUGGUAUCCUUAGUCUAGUGAAUAUGCUAUUCACUGUACAUAUGAUCAAAUGCAGGGUCAAGAGUCCUACCGAGUUACCUUCAGCAUAUAUACAGUGUGUCUUUAUGAGACUUCCUCUAUACUUGAAAGCUAUCUAGCGCUUUAAUCUAUGUAUCUAUAGGCAUCUACAGGUAUAGAGAAGCUAAUUCUCUAGUUUGACACUAGACUAAGGGCCUCUGAACCCUUUGAGGCCAUCACUUUGGUUGUCCAACUGUGGAGCUGGGAAGAGACCUCAUCACCCUGGUCUGGUGGGGUGGUUGGCGCCCCACCCGGAUACACACCACACAGGUUGGCGUGAGGAGCACCAGUGCACAUGGCAUCACCACUGUGGCAGCCCAGUUUCAAGCAAAGUACUUGUGGACAAAGAGCCCACAGACUACCGGGUAAAAAUGGGCAAUAACUGAGCCAUGAGACGACAGCCAAGGGGGUGGCAGCUGCGUGGGCCCGGGCACAGCACAGGGCGUGAGGCAACAGACACGAGACACGCAACACUUAGUACCCUGAAGGAGCAACCCGUCAGCGGGGCGGGUUAGGACACAUCCGGUGCUGGGAGAUCCACGUCACCCGGCCAACUCGCACAAAAUGGCGUAGAGCUGAUAGAGCACGUCUUAAGUAUAUUACUAUUCUUAACAAUAUGAUAUAGCUGAAAUAUUAUGAUACGUAAUAUAACUUUAACAGAAGGCUUAUUAAUAUUAAAAAUAUUGUUUCCAUACUCUCAGUAAUAACAUGGCUAUCAACAUGUGGGAGGGGAGGGACCUUCAGUCCCAGACCCUUUCUUUUUUUUUUUUUUGGUACUGUGCUUUAGCUCAGUACAACAUAUAUAUACAGUUUGUGUACACAGCAGCACAGGCCUCAACUGUGGACUUCCAGACACUGUAACUUCCAUAAGAAAAAAAAUAAAGGAAAAAACAAAAUAGAAGAAAAUUGUGAGCAAUCUCUUGUGUAGUGACCAUCUCAUUCCCGCCACACUGAGGCCUCCCGCAGCCUGUGUAUCAACUCAAGCUCUCUGGACUCGUAUAUGUAGCACUUGUAGUAUAGAAAUAUGAUAAUAGUGUUCAUCUUGCAGAGAAUUUCUUGUUUUCAAGUACUUUCUCCUCUAUACUUACAACCUAUGCUUUGGAUUCCUAAUACUUGAUAUAAAUGUCACACUCAAGCUAUGAUAAAUCUGCAGCAAUCUUGAAGAGCUGCUCCAUCACGGACCCCUGCGGAGGAAGAGGCUUGGUCAGACAGCGACACACACCACAUGGCAGGAGACACUCAGCACCAACACUUGAAACACUGCUAUGUCAGCUGUGUCACACACCUGGUCUCCCCUACUGAGUGCGGCCGUUAGUAGGGUCUAUUGGCAUCCUUGGGUCGCUUGAGCUGAACCUUUAGGCGCUUCAUGCCAAUCUGGAAGCCAUUCAUUGCUUGGAUUGCUGCUUGAGCUGAGGCAGGGUUGUCAAAGCUCACGAACCCUGAAAAUGAUGAUGAGGUUACACAUGUGGUUUGUAAAAUGGCAUUGUGCUACAGGAUAGUGAUAGUCAACUGGAGGAAUGGUUAAGGUAUCACCCACUAUGCACUCAAGUUAGAAAUGUUACACUUAAUAGCAACAUUUGAAAUAUGAAGAAUGUAAGUAAAUUUAUAUGAAGUGAACUUAAUUGCUACUUGCUAUUUUUCAUUUUUUUUUUUAUGAGAGAAAAAACUAAUGCAUUAUUUUAUUUCAUGCAGUAGCUUACUAGUCAGUUGUAUUAUCAAAAGAAAUUAAAUAAUAAAGUCUGAUGGUAUUAGAUGAUGGAAAAUGAAAGUGUACAGACACCCAUUUAUUUUCUGGUUAAAACUUCCUGGAUUAAGCUAUAAAUUAAAUUCUUUACUGGUCUUUAAAUUUCUUUAGUAGGAGACUGGUGAUUUACUCCUAUGAAAGGUUGCUUUGAGAGCAUUGGUGUUUACCCUGUAGGUUCCUCUCUCUGCUUACCACCAAUACAAGCCAAGUGAAGGUUUCAGUCUCUGCCUACCACCACUACAAGCUCAAUGAACACUUGAGGAAAACAUGAAUGUCUCACCGAAGCACUUGCUCUGGUUGGUGGCUCUAUCAAUGAACACCUUGGAGGAGAUCACAUUUCCAAAAGGAAGGAACAUCUGCAUCAACUCGGCAUCGCCAAACUCCUGCGGCAAGUGGUAGAUGAAGAGGUUGCAGCCUUCAGGUCCUGAGAUGGAGCAACCUGCCGAAGUGACACACUGGUCAGUGGGAGAACUGCACUGAGGUGAUAGCAAAGAUAAUAAAUAAAAGAUACAAACAGUACAUGACAUGGCAGAAUUCAUUUAGUGUCAGAGUCAUCAUUCAGCCAUGUGUGGUGGACUGCAGCACUGGGCCACAUCUGCCACCCAUGCUCCUCACCUUGCCUUGGCCCUUCUGUACAUCUGUAUCAGCUUUGAAGAAGAAUGCCUACAGAUCUUCUGGUAAUGUGAUGGAAACUACUUGGUGUGGUGCAGACAGCCUCUUGCAGCAUGACAACAAUGUCAUGUUAUGGUACAUUUAGUUUGCUGAAAGCUUGUAGGACACUUAAUUGUUUUAUAUAUUUCCAUCAUAAAAAGUCUUUUUUUUCCAAGUUUCAAAGUAUUCACCAUAUGCAAAACAAUAUCAGGAAGCUCAAAAUCCAUCAGUGCAAUUCAAUAUGAGCUGCUGUCCAUACAACAGUUAUGACUCUGUCACUGUGUGUGUCAAUCUUGCCUCUGUUGUUGCCUUGUGCUUAGAAAGACCUUUUCCCUUAAUUUUUCCUGCCAUGUUUGUUUUCAGUAACCAAUCAGUGACAAAAGCAACACAAAAUGUCUGUUUAUUUGACUAACAAUUAGAGUAUCAUAUACAACAGUGUUGUAUGUUGUUGUGUCUCCCUAGCCACUUGUCACAUUUGUUCUUUGUACCAUCUCUAUGACAAACUGGGUUUGUUGGUGCAAAGCUGAGGCUGAAUGGAGUGAAAUUGGCUGUGCUACUAUGUCUGCCUGUAGUUAAGACAGUGUUUCUUACAGACAAUGAAGUGUGUAAAAGAACUAUUUUUUUUAAUAUUGCUACUUAAUCCUCGGUUUGGUUUAUCUGCAGUCACUUCUUUUACAUGGGUUACACUAGAGGUAUAAUUUCAAAAGUAGUUAACUUCAUUAAUCAUUCAAAGGACCUCAUCAGUAUUUACAAAAAUCAUGUAUUUAGAGUUCUUUAAAACCUAGAGAUCUUGGUUUGUUUACAGUAAAAAAAAAGUCUGCUGACACUGUUCAUAACAGCAAGUGAUCAAUGCAUUCCCUACAUUUGGUGCUGUGUCUUGCCAGCAGGUCUGAGAAACAAACAAACAUGUGACCUUAUCAGAAGUUAGAAUGUACAUAUUUAGUCCAUGCAGUUUAUGUGUGUUAUUUUGUUAAUCAUUAGGAAGUGAAUUACUUAAUCUGUGGAAACAUUAUAACAAUUUUGAUGUGGAAAUUCCCAUGUAAAUUCACAUGUAGAUAAAAAGGGGAAAGAAGAAACAGUUAUGCAAAAAAAUAAGAAUGAAAACUUGGGCUUCUAAAUAUAAUUUUAAGAUUUUCAUGACUAAAAAAACACUUUGAUUAGUAGCAAUACUUAUCAAAUAUUUACUGGAAAGUAGGAGCCACAAACAUUACCAAGUAUUGAAUCAUGUCUCAGGUGACAAUGAACCUUGGGUACUGUAAAUGACUGGGAAUAUCACACUUGUCAUAGUUACUCACUCUAUAAAUAUAAAUAAGGCUGUGGGUGAUAACAAAGUAUUUUGUUGUGAUGACUCGGUCCCAUCAGAUGAGUAAAUGCCGCAAUAAGGAUGAGGCAACUGUGCCUCCCUGGAUGGUGAUCAUCUUAAGGCAAUUCACUACUCAAGUCUAUAAAGUGUGAAUUACUGUACAUGGCAGUGUAAUGAAUGCAAAGCUCCUUAAUGAUAAUGUAAUUAUUUAUGUUACUUGGUCACAAAUCUGAGAUGUUUGGUUUUCAGUUUUGUUAUUUGUCCCAGAAUUCUGUAAUUUUAAGCAGUUACUUUAAACAGACUCAACUCAAUAUACAAGGUGUUUAUAUUUAUGUAAUAGAUGAAUAAAAUCUUAAAAUAAGGAAGGCACCAAAAUAUAAUGUAAAUGCUGUGUUAAAGAUCAUUUAAUCAGUUGUGUAAUUCAGUAUACACAAUAUUGAAGAAAAUUUUUAGAUGUAUACAGAGCAUCUUGGGAAUAGAAAAUUACUGCACUGUUAGCAAAAUAUUCUAAAAUACAAAAUCUAAUUCCUCUAAAUAUGACAAAUGGGUUUUCCAUUUGCAUCUCCACAAAAUAUUGUCAUGUUGGGUAAAUACCUUGAUGAAUAUUUAGCAAAGAGAAAAUAUACAAGAAAUAUUUUCCAGUACUGUAAAUAGUCAAUAAGAAAUCUAAAGUGUGAACAUAUAAAAAUAAAUGAACUAGGUAGGUAUUGCCCGAGGAGGAGCAACGUCCCAUCCAUGCGAGUCAUGCAGUACGGCAUGCACAACCUUUACACUCAAGGACCAGGCCUACGUUUUGUUACUGGUCAAAAUCUGGAUACUAUAGAAAAACUUACGUAGUGGUUAUACAGGUGAGAGGCUCAACACUAUCUCAUGUACCUGGAUCAUAAAAACACUAGAUUGCCUUGUUACUGGUCAAAACUGAUCAACUGUGCUGGACUACUGCUGGAAUGACAGUGAGGCUACUCUGGCGGGCUGCCAGUCAGUCACCUUUGGUUGGCAUCAAAAAUCAUUUGUCACACAAAAACAAACACUAUGCUCGACCACCAAUAAGGGACACAGCACACUCAGCAUGCAGGGGACAUGCGGGAGCAGACACUCAGGCAGAGGAGACGUGCAUCAGCUCGUUCAGUGGCCAGGAAGCGGCGCCAUAAAAAAUUGUACAGAACUACUGCACCAUUUUCCCAAUCCACAACCUUCAUCCAAUUCCCUCCAGGACCAGAACAAAGACAAGUGACAUUCAGCUGUGACUCGAGGCACUGAGUGCUUGCUUUGCAUCUUGAGUGAGCCAAGAAUGAGAUAAGGGUGUGGACCUGGGUGGCUGGACAUGUGGAUGGCUUACCUUCAACCUUGUUGUGGGGUAUUGGGGCCAGCUGGGGCGAGGGCGCCUGGGCGUACUGGCCGUACACGGGCGCAGGAUACACAGCUGUAAGAGGGCGGGGUGGACACUGUCAGCCACACACACGCACACACACACGCGCACCCACACCCACACACACAUACAGACGCACAUACCAACACACAUGCCAUCACUACACCACCAACUACUGUGCCAACACUACUCUACCCUUGGCUACAAAUAAUCCUUUUAGUAACAUUACACCAACUGUUUAGCACUACCUUACACCCUACAUCAUCCACUGGAUAACAGCUUACGGGAAAUUACGACAGGAAUGGUGUUCAUUUUCAAUAAUUUUUUAAUAAAGAAUGAUCUUAAGACUGAAAGCUGAACUUUCAGAAUGUCCUUUCCAGGUUCACAGUUUUAUUUAUUCUGUGAUUUCUAUUUUGCAGUUGAUUAGUUUGGGUACUAAGUCAGAUUUUCUGGAUGUACAAUUGAACUUCAGGGGACUAGUGAGGAUGAGAUCUUGAGGUUUUGGCCAGCCUUGUUUGUGACAUGUCUCACUGAAUGAAUUUCAAAAAGAUUUUAAAGGUAAAUGCUGCAAAUUUGACCUGAACAAAUAUUUCCCCUGCUUUCACUCACCAAUGGCAUGAAUGUGCUACAUUUGACUUCAUGCCACCACAAUACUAAAAUUAACAAAAUAUCUGUACAAGUAUUCCCUGUGCUUUACUCUUCCCAUUUUAUGCAAUCAUCAGUAAACAGCUUCAGAUAUACAGUUUUCUCCAGUCUUUCUACUAUCCAUGGCAGACUUCACUAAUAUGCAAGACUGAUAAAGAAAUAAUAACACAACAAUAUCCACUAUGGCACAACAAAUCAUUACUAAAACGAAAAUUCAUCAUGUCUUCUGAUUACAAUAAUGUUCUUUCUUUAUAAUGUACUAAAGAUAUCUUUCCAUUCACCACUGGUCAAUCAUUCACACAGAUUAGUCAAGCCACCCAUCAUAACAAACCUACACAGUACAGGCCAAGCAGUCUGGUACUGGGUGACCUCACUGCUGUCUUCCCCAACAGGAAAUGAUAAACACUGAAUUAUACAUUAUUCAAAUGUAUAUAAAUGUCAAUCUAUGAAUGACAAAAUGGUAACUCCACUCACUCCAGUUCAGCUAGUUUCACCAUUGCUGCUGCAGACACCUGUCACUUGUCACUUGCAUGACCAAACACUCCUUCCUUCCUUUGUUAUUCAGCAGUCCAAGAAAACCUAAACCUGUAUAUCUGACACCUGGUAAGCAGAAAAGCUGCAAGUAUUUUCUGUGUUAAAUUCCUCAGGUUCUGAAUUUGAAUGCAAUAUCAUGUUGAUUCAAAGAUGAUUUGCUGGUCACCUUGGCAGUCAUGCUUGUGAAUGAGUGUCUCCAGAAUUAUCUGUAGGUCUUUUAAUGAUUAUUUAAGUGUUUUGAAUGAUAACCUCUUCUUUGAGUAAUGCUACACAAUGUGACAUUUCAUCCCUUGCUGAACAGAUGUGAGUGAUGCAUCAGGUAUGGGAGUGCCAGAGAAGAAAAUGGAGGCAAUGGAGAUGAAGUGUCUGAAGAACAUGUAAAAUGUGAAGGAGCUCUGAUGUAGGAGAGCCAUUUCCACAGUGAAGGGAUCGUUAAAAUGACUUCAGAAUGUCAAGAGGAUGGAAAAGAAGUGACUGGAGAACAGUUAUGAAGGUGUAAAUGAUGUUGGUUCUAAGCCUACAACAGGAUUCUCUUGCUUCUGAGGUGAUCAGAUGGGACCAGAUGUGGGAAAGAGGACAGGUCUGUUAUGAUGAAGUCUGCUGUCAGGCUGCCAUUCCAAGAGAACUGGCUCUGUUGCACAACUGAUCUGUGUGCAGUGUGGGCAAUAAGGGUUGGUCCUCUCCCACUAAAGACCUUGAGAUUAAGAUGUAAAAAAAAAUAAUAAUAAUAAUAGUAAAAUAAAUAAAUAAAUAAAUAAAUAAAAUAGAAAAUAAAUAAAUAAAUAAAACAUUUGUUGCAAUAGUUAUGUGUAUGGCUGUGUUUGUAGGUGUGUCCUAGUAUAUCUAAUGGGUGAAAACUUUUGGUUUGGGUCCUAAGUUAUAUUUAAAAUCCUAUCCUGUGGAUUCUGCUGCACCUGUUUUCCUCAUUAUCAACACAACUAUGUAAAAGCAAGUGGCAAAGGCACCACGUCAGAGCACAAUUAAACUUCUGCAUUUGCAUUUGUACAGUGUCUCAUUAAAACUGUACUUCUCAUAUUUACAGAUUUCAAGUUAAACUUCCAUAGUCAAGAUUUUGCUGUGACUACUUUCUAAUAUUCUCGUAAGAUCAAUAUUUACUAUUUGCACCUGACAGCAUUAGCAUAGUGAUGAUGAUGGUGUAGAAAACAUAUUCUUGUGGCACACAAAACAUCCAAGGCUUCUGACACACAACAAGGUCACUACAAGGAGCAUACUGAUGUUACUUCACUCCUCAGGAAAACCACCACACACUCUCAGCUGUCCUGAAGUCAGCCUGCCUGCCCAGGGUCCAAAACUGAUCUUAUCUCUUAUACCUCCCUUUCUUGGUUGUCAGUCUGGUGCCCAGACAGGCACACAAUUAUUAGGGCAGAGCAAAUGGAUGAAUGGAGUCACCAAAGCUUAUAUGGUUGGCAACCAGAAAAAAUAUCUAUCCUUAUGUUUGUUAAGUAAAAAUCUACCUGGA